rnacentral:tRNA from 5 species
CGGAGUGUAGCGCAGCUUGGUAGCGCACCUGGUUUGGGACCAGGUGGUCGUAGGUUCAAAUCCUAUCACUCCGACCA